AGACCCGAAACCCGGUGAUCUAGCCAUGGGCAGGUUGAAGGUUGGGUAACACUAACUGGAGGACCGAACCGACUAAUGUUGAAAAAUUAGCGGAUGACCUGUGGCUGGGGGUGAAAGGCCAAUCAAACCGGGAGAUAGCUGGUUCUCCCCGAAAGCUAUUUAGGUAGCGCCUCGUGAAUUCAUCUCCGGGGGUAGAGCACUGUUUCGGCUAGGGGGCCAUCCCGGCUUACCAACCCGAUGCAAACUGCGAAUACCGGAGAAUGUUAUCACGGGAGACACACGGCGGGUGCUAACGUCCGUCGUGAAGAGGGAAACAACCCAGACCGCCAGCUAAGGUCCCAAAGUCAUGGUUAAGUGGGAAACGAUGUGGGAAGGCCCAGACAGCCAGGAUGUUGGCUUAGAAGCAGCCAUCAUUUAAAGAAAGCGUAAUAGCUCACUGGUCGAGUCGGCCUGCGCGGAAGAUGUAACGGGGCUAAACCAUGCACCGAAGCUGCGGCAGCGACACUGUGUGUUGUUGGGUAGGGGAGCGUUCUGUAAGCCUGUGAAGGUGUGUCGUGAGGCAUGCUGGAGGUAUCAGAAGUGCGAAUGCUGACAUAAGUAACGAUAAAGCGGGUGAAAAGCCCGCUCGCCGGAAGACCAAGGGUUCCUGUCCAACGUUAAUCGGGGCAGGGUGAGUCGACCCCUAAGGCGAGGCCGAAAGGCGUAGUCGAUGGGAAACGGGUUAAUAUUCCCGUACUUGGUGUUACUGCGAAGGGGGGACGGAGAAGGCUAUGUUGGCCGGGCGACGGUUGUCCCGGUUUAAGCGUGUAGGUGUGUGUUCCAGGUAAAUCCGGUUCACUUUAACACUGAGGCGUGACGACGAGGCACUACGGUGCUGAAGCAACAAAUGCCCUGCUUCCAGGAAAAGCCUCUAAGCAUCAGGUAACAUCAAAUCGUACCCCAAACCGACACAGGUGGUCAGGUAGAGAAUACCAAGGCGCUUGAGAGAACUCGGGUGAAGGAACUAGGCAAAAUGGUGCCGUAACUUCGGGAGAAGGCACGCUGACACGUAGGUGAAGUGAUUUACUCAUGGAGCUGAAGUCAGUCGAAGAUACCAGCUGGCUGCAACUGUUUAUUAAAAACACAGCACUGUGCAAACACGAAAGUGGACGUAUACGGUGUGACGCCUGCCCGGUGCCGGAAGGUUAAUUGAUGGGGUCAGCGCAAGCGAAGCUCCUGAUCGAAGCCCCGGUAAACGGCGGCCGUAACUAUAACGGUCCUAAGGUAGCGAAAUUCCUUGUCGGGUAAGUUCCGACCUGCACGAAUGGCGUAAUGAUGGCCAGGCUGUCUCCACCCGAGACUCAGUGAAAUUGAACUCGCUGUGAAGAUGCAGUGUACCCGCGGCAAGACGGAAAGACCCCGUGAACCUUUACUAUAGCUUGACACUGAACAUUGAGCCUUGAUGUGUAGGAUAGGUGGGAGGCUUUGAAGUGUGGACGCCAGUCUGCAUGGAGCCGACCUUGAAAUACCACCCUUUAAUGUUUGAUGUUCUAACGUGGACCCGUUACCCGGGUUGCGGACAGUGUCUGGUGGGUAGUUUGACUGGGGCGGUCUCCUCCUAAAGAGUAACGGAGGAGCACGAAGGUUGGCUAAUCCUGGUCGGACAUCAGG
rnacentral:rRNA from 2 species